rnacentral:misc_RNA from 1 species
GUGCGCUCGAUUCAAUGUCUGGAUUUUGCCAAUCCUCGCGACUUCUUCCUUUAUCUCUGGUUGGAAAAUGGGAGUGGAAAACGGCACGACGUAAAGAUCCUUAAUGGCGUCAGACCAUUCUAGGAGAAAGAGGAGAGGCUGUUGUAUCGCCGCAGUAGCAAUUACGAUAAAGCUUGAUUUUCUGCAGGAUGUCGAGCAAUACAGUUUGCGAUUCACCUUCAGUGCUAACGUUAGUUAGUUAGUGAUUAAAGAUUCGCAAAAAGUAUCGUCGAAUCGUGCUGGUCUAUUUCGAUAGAAAAAUGGUUGUAGCGGUCAAUGAAGAGGAAACGAGAACUUGCAAACUAAAUAAGCACGCUGAAGUCGUUCCGCCACUUACUCCAUUCCAUUCGUUGUUUGAUUUCAACGGUUGGCAUCGAAAUUUCCUUCGAGUCAAGCGGCGAAACUCCGAAUUGACCGUAAUACGGGAUAUUACAAUUUGAA